GACGAACGCUGGCGGCGUGCUUAACACAUGCAAGUCGAACGGAAAGGCCCUGCUUUUGUGGGGUGCUCGAGUGGCGAACGGGUGAGUAACACGUGAGUAACCUGCCCUUGACUUUGGGAUAACUUCAGGAAACUGGGGCUAAUACCGGAUAGGAGCUCCUGCUGCAUGGUGGGGGUUGGAAAGUUUCGGCGGUUGGGGAUGGACUCGCGGCUUAUCAGCUUGUUGGUGGGGUAGUGGCUUACCAAGGCUUUGACGGGUAGCCGGCCUGAGAGGGUGACCGGCCACAUUGGGACUGAGAUACGGCCCAGACGCCUACGGGAGGCAGCAGUGGGGAAUAUUGCACAAAGGGCGGAAGCCUGAUGCAGCAACGCCGCGUGCCGGAUGACGGCCUUCGGGUUGUAAACCGCUUUCGCCUGUGACGAAGCGUGAGUGACGGUAAUGGGUAAAGAAGCACCGGCUAACUACGUG
rnacentral:rRNA from 1 species